rnacentral:rRNA from 1 species
GACAGAGGUCCCGAGCGUUAGGCGGAAUCACUGGGCUUAAAGCGUGUGUAGGCGGAUCGUUAAGUGCCUUGUGAAAUCCCACGGCUUAACCGUGGAACUGCUUGGCAUACUGGCGGUCUUGAGCAACCUAGGGGCAAGCGGAACAAAUGGUGGAGCGGUGAAAUGCGUAGAUAUCGUAAGGAAGACCAGUGGCGAAGGCGGGUCUCUGGACAGUUCCUGACGCUGAGGCACGAAGGUCAGGGGAGCAAACGGG